CCUCUUGGAGACGCGCACGCGCUUCCUCCCCCCAAUUCUCUUCUUCCUCUCUCCGGCACGCGGCCACACGGAGCAUUCCCUCUGAUCUCUCUCCGACUUCCCCUUCUUCUGCUUGCUCGCCGCCCGCCGAUCACCGCCUCCUCUACGCGGGGCGGGUCAAAGGCUAGUGGUUCUCUCCACCCUACUAGCGCAGCCCGAGGCGGCGUCGCCGGAAGUAGGCGGGGGAGAUCUCCGGCGCCAUGUCGAUGGACUCGGACACCUCCUCCCAGGGCGGGGACCACCGGAGCUUCCGCCAAAUCACGCGAGACCGUUUAUUAUUUGAAAUGCUCAGGUCAACUAGGAAACAUUCAAAAUCAACAUGGAAGGUUCUUAUUAUGGAUAAACUUACAGUCAAGAUAAUAUCAUGUUCAUGUAAGAUGGCAGAUAUUACAGAAGAAGGGGUUUCAUUGGUUGAAGAUUUGUACAAACGGAGACAACCGUUGCCUUCACUAGAUGCUAUAUAUUUCAUUCAACCAACUAAAGAAAACAUUGGGAUGUUCCUGAAUGACAUGUCCGGAAGAAAUCCGUUAUACAAGAAGUAUGUCUGAAUUAACAUAAACCGCCACUUGAAUCUCCUCUUAUGUACAAUCUCUAUUCUGUUUCUUUCACUGAUAGAUUGUUGAUCAUGUUGUAGGGCGUAUGUGUUUUUCAGUUCUCCCAUACAGAAAGAAUUAGUUACUCAAAUAAAAAAAGAUUCAAGUGUACUACCCCGUAUUGGUGCACUUAGUGAGGUUACUUGGAUUAUGCUAUCCUCUUAUAUUUUAUUCCAGAAUGUUUUAAAUAUAAAAGACUGUUAUGCUAACUAUUUAUUCACAUUUUAUUUUUCGUUGUAUUCCAGAUGAAUUUGGAGUACUUUGCUAUUGAUUCCCAGGGUUUCACCACUGACCAUGAAAGAGCAUUGGAGGAGCUUUUUAGUGAAAAUGCUUUGGAUUCACACAAGUACAAUGCUUGUUUGAACACAAUGGCUACUCGCAUAUCUACAGUGUUUGCAUCAAUGAGGGAAUUCCCUAGAGUGCACUACCGUGUCGCCAAGACAAUUGAUGCUUCUGUAACGACAACACUACGAGAUUUAGUGCCUACAAAACUUGCUGCUGCUGUUUGGAAUUGCCUUUCAAAAUUGAAAACAUCAAUACCGGAUUAUCCUCAAACUGAGACAUGUGAGCUACUUAUAGUUGAUCGUUCAGUAGACCAGAUUGCACCAAUCAUUCAUGAAUGGACAUAUGACGCGAUGUGCCAUGAUCUUCUAUGUAUGGAUGGCAACAAGUAUGUCCAUGAGGUUCCGAGUAAAAAUGGUUCAUCAACUGAAAAGAAGGAUGUCCUAUUGGAGGAUCAUGAUCCAAUAUGGGUUGAGCUCCGGCAUGCCCACAUAGCAGAUGCAAGCGAAAGACUGCAUGACAAGAUGAGCAAUUUUGUGUCCAAGAAUAAAGCUGCUCAACUGCAGCAAGCAAGAACUGGGGGAGAGAUAUCCAAUAGAGAUUUGCAAAAAAUGGUUCAAGCUCUUCCACAGUACAGCGAUCAAAUUGAGAAGCUUUCUCUUCAUGUUGAGGUAAACUCAAUAGCAUAAUAAGGGAGCAAGGUCUUCGAGAUGUUGGACAGCUAGAGCAAGAUCUUGUAUUUGGUGAUGCUGGAACUAAAGAAUUAAUCAAUUUUUUGAGGACACAAUUGGGUGUAAGUCGUGAAAACAAGUUGCGUUUGCUGAUGAUCUAUGCAGCAAUCAACCCAGACAAGUUCGAAAGUGACAAGGGUGAAAAAUUGAUGCAGUUGGCAGGAUUAUCCACUGAUGACAUGAUUGCUGUGAGUAAUAUGCGUUGCUUAUGUGGCCCUGACACCAAAAAGUCCUCGGGAGGAGGUUUUACGUUUAAAUUUGAUGUUCACAAGAAGAAGCAUGGACUUAGAAAGGAGCGAACUGGGGAAGAAUCUACAUGGGCACUUUCCCGAUUUUAUCCUGUUCUAGAGGACUUGAUUGAGAAGCUUAGCAAGGGAGAAUUACCAAAAGACGAAUACUAUUGCAUGAACGACCCUAGCCCAAGUUUCCACGGUCUGCCAAUGAGCAGCUCAGUCAGAACUAGCCCAGCUCACCAACCAGCUCAUUCUAUGAGAUCCAGACGGACAGGUGGUACAUGGGCUCGGCCACGUGGCUCUGAUGAUGGGUAUUCAAGUGAUUCAGUGCUGAAGCAUUCGUCGAGUGACUUCAAAAAGCUUGGUCAGCGUAUAUUUGUGUUUGUCAUUGGUGGCGCCACUCGGUCGGAGUUACGUGCUGUGCACAAGCUUACAUCCAAGCUAAAGCGGGAAGUCAUACUUGGUUCAUCUAGUCUGGAUGAUCCUCCCCAGUUCAUCACGAAACUGAAGAUGAUGUCAGUCGAUGAACUGACGCUGGAUGAUCUUCAAAUAUAAAUAGCAACACUGCACACAUGGAAUUAUGCGGCUCUAUCUAGAUUUGCUCCAUUUGUAGCUAUAUAUAUAAUUUUUAAUCUGUGAUUUGUAGGACUAGUUAUUAUGCACGGGUUGAUCUCUAUACCGCAGGUUGUCAAUACGAGGGGCUGCAUCAUAUUCAUUUGCUAGGGAGAGUCCGCACAACAUUAGGUGAUUCUUAACGGAAUGAAUGUACAUAACAGUGGCCGGCAGAUGUAACUAUGUAACGAUUUUCUCGAUUGGGCCAAUGAUCGAUUGGUUGCCUUCUCCACGGAAUGUGAGAUGUUCUCUAUUUGCCCA